rnacentral:misc_RNA from 1 species
AACGCACGAGACCUGCGGACCUGCGGAAGGAUCAUUACCGAGUUUACAAAACUCCCAAACCCUUUGUGAACCUUACCUAUCGUUGCUUCGGCGGGAACGCCCCGGCGCCCUCGCGGCCCGGAACCAGGCGCCCGCCGGAGGCCCCAAACCCUCAUGUCUUUAGUGGUUUCCUCCUCUGAGUGACAUAAACAAAUAAAGUAAAAACUUUCAACAAUGGAUCUCUAGAUCGGAAGAGCACAC